AGUGAACGCUGGCGGCAGGCCUAACACAUGCAAGUCGAACGGCAGCACAGGGGAGCUUGCUCCCUGGGUGGCGAGUGGCGGACGGGUGAGGAAUACGUCGGAAUCUGCCUAUUUGUGGGGGAUAACGUAGGGAAACUUACGCUAAUACCGCAUACGACCUACGGGUGAAAGCGGAGGACCUUCGGGCUUCGCGCAGAUAGAUGAGCCGACGUCGGAUUAGCUAGUUGGCGGGGUAAAGGCCCACCAAGGCGACGAUCCGUAGCUGGUCUGAGAGGAUGAUCAGCCACACUGGAACUGAGACACGGUCCAGACUCCUACGGGAGGCUG
rnacentral:rRNA from 1 species